CUGUUCGGUGGGGGGACAGAGCAGUGUUAGGAUAACUGACUUUUUUGUUGUUCUCUGGGUGCAUUCUUCUCGCUCCCCCUCUCUCCCCCUCACCCUCUCUCCUCUCUCUCUCUCUCUCCCUCUCCCUCUCUCUCUCUUUUAAAAAAUCAGCCAUUUGGGGUUUUAAGCCAUAAACGAUUUUUCUUGUUGCAGGGGAUUGCAGUGGCAAAGCUAGGCUAGGUCUUGGAGGCUGGUGUAAGGCGAUGCGGGAAGGCAGGAGGCUGAUGGAGAGACUGGGGGGAAGAAAAGCCGAAAUGGAUUCACGGUGCCUUGGAUGGAGGAUGAGAGGGGAACUGCAAGCUCCUUCAACUCGUUCUGUCCGGUGAGAAGUGAUCAAGCUUGGGCUGACAAGAGGCUCAGGGAGCCCUCACGUUCUUUGCUUUUUUACCUGCCAAUCAAACUGCUACAAGACAACACCCUGAUCUGGCAUGGACAUCGUGGGUCCAAGCCUGUAGCCCUAAAUCGGAUAAUCUCUGCAGCUGAUAACAAGCAAAAGAGAAGCCAGGCAACAGCCAUAUUACAGAAGAAAACAAUCAACUCCGAGGGGACCAGGAACCAAGAGCCGGGCAUUCUUAAGAGUGCAGGAUUGCUUUCCACAAUUUCAAGAGCUUGUCGUGUCAACUUGCUGCAACUUUGGAGAAGUUGGAAUCCGGCAGCGCUUUCCACCCUUGAGUAAAGUACCCGCAGCAGCCGCUAAGUUAGCUCAUCCUAUUGGUUUGCAUCUUCUCAUUUCCAAGAAAGUGUUGCUAAAUGUUGGGUCUAGGUUGAACUAGGAAUGUCUCAUUUUCUGUAUUUUAGCUUAUUCGGAAUUGCUUUAUUUUGUAACUUGGGGGCUUUAUUUACUUCUUUAUCCUCAUUUUAAGGGUAAUGUUGUACUGGGAAGGGACAGUUAUUCCAGUUCCCAAUUCUAAGCGAGGCAUUUUCCCCCCUAAUUAAUGCAGAGACUCUAAAAGAAUUUCCCCCGGCCUGGCCAGCCAUUGUAAUGCAUAUACGGAUUAUUCACGUGGUAAUGAGCACAUUCGCCAGUUCUUGCUCACACAUACGAAUAAAAGAAACUUUGAAUAAAGAUCCAAAUGAACGUGCUGGGGGUGUGGGGUGGAUAUCCCCGGAAUUUUAGCCAAUCAAUUUGAUAUAGAAUGUAUAUAUUUAAAAAAUAAAUAUAUGCUAGGGAAAAAAAAAAAAGACCUGCAGGAUCAGACUGAAAAGCAAAGUUUUGGCAAAAUGUUCACGUUCAAAUAUUUUGCAAGCAGAAAGGGAGCACAAUAUUUUAGAAGUUGAUAUAGUUUUUACAGUGGUUGUCACUGUAUUUGUAUUACACAGGAUAACUUGCCAUUUCCCCUCCCAUCCAACCAUAUCUGCAAACCAAGUACUUGAAAAAUAGAAGCCAAAAUAUUUUGUUUACAAAUAUAAAUUCAUUUGAUAAACUGCAUCUGAAGAAAACCAUACAAAUUUCAUUACAUCAUUCAUUUGAUCGAGUAAAAUAGUUCUCCAAGUUGUAUCAUUUCAUAGUUAGAUUAAUAUUAACAAUACAGUAUUUUAGCAACAAAUGUGAUUUUAACAAAAAAUAUUCUGAAGAUAGCUACUGAGUAUUUAGUUCUUUCCUUGGGAUAUGAUUCAGCUCAAGGAAACCACUUUUCAGUCAAAGGGGGUGAAUUUAAAUGUUUUGUUAACCUUAUAAACAGACUAGAAAUGUGCAAAAGGAUGAGAGUAUAGUCAGUUCUCUGCAUUUUUUUUUUCUCUUCCUGCCCUGACCCCCACCCCCAUACUUUAAAUAAAGAACGUUAAAAUAUUUUUGCUGAGCUGUAGUAGAUUAGCAAGGUUUCUUUGCCAAUGCUGGAAAGCUGGUAUUACAGACUGUCCCAGGGGAAAAUGGCUCACAUUAACCACUAAAUGAAUAUUUGACAAGGGCUCAUUCGGAGGUAUUAUUACUAUAAACGUGUCCCUACUGGACUUUUCAAGGGUCAAAGAGCAACGCUUCAAUUAAUUAUUUAGACUGCUAGUAGAUUUGGUUGUAAUAGCUGUACUUAUUUCUAGAAACCGACACAUUCUUACAGUAGGAAAAAUCUCUGGAGAAUCUUCUCCAUCAGCAACCCCUUAGAUUGAAAAACACAUGGACCCCUGGCAUUCUAAAAACUGACUUUUUUAUUAAACCUUAUCCGGGGCUGGGGGAAGGAAUUAUGGCCUCUUUUUCUACAUCAUAGACUAUUUUGAGUUUAAAACGGGAGGGGGGAGGACAUAACCAUUUAUCUUAAUUUCCACAUCAUGUCUGGCAAGGUCUUUUAGGGAUUUGCGAUGUGGGGAGAGAAGAGAGGGUGUUUAUUUAUAACCUUUGCCUUUUCUAAGUAGCAGUGUCACAGGAUUUCAGAGACCCAGGCAGGCCCCUGAAUUUAGACAGGAUCCACAUUCCUGUUUGCCAGGAAAAAUCUGAGGUUUUAAAUGGAAAGCUCCAUAGAUUGAGUGCCCUGAGUUCUAAUAGUGGCAGAGUAAAUUGGGGUGCAAGGUGUAGUUCUUCCUUCCCUCCCACCUAUUGGUCAGAACACUGCAAGGUGCAUGAGGAGGGGCAGGGUUGCAUUUUUGCCAUGUCAUAAGUUCUUCCUUGGCCCUAGGUAAGCUGGUAAGGGAAUGAUUUUGGAAGUAGAUUCCUUGACAAUAAUAUAAAUUGAAUGAAUAAGAGAUAAGCUGGUGGGGGGGGCGGUGGAAGCAGUAAUUACAAACCCAAUUCAUUCAGCUUUUCAGAACUUUUGUUAUGGGAGUUCCAUUGACGGGUUUUGAGCUGCCAGUUUUCUCACAUUAAAAGGAACUGAUCAGCGCCUCAGGGGGACAAGGAAUACCGCUUAACUGCAUAGUGAUGGGGUCUUCAUUUAGCACCAUUACAAGAAGAAAAUUAAACAGUGCCUUUGUGUGCACGAGGUUUACUUUUCAACUGCUAACAGUUUAUAGCUAACUGCUCUGAGAUUGAAGUUUGACUAUGGUUUGAUCGCCUGUGAGUUGGCACUGCUUAUUUAUUUAUUUAUCUGUUGUAAUUGAAAGAGCUUUCUACCCACUACGACCCCCGCCCCCUUUCAUUUCUUGAAGAAUUUUUUAAAAACAGGUCCUCAUAUUUUUCCUUGUGGAAGGAGUUUCCUUUGCCAUGAGUUCAUUUUGUGAAGACUUGAGCUCACAUUCCCCCCCCCACAUAAUUGCUUUAAAAUAAUUUGCAUCUCUAUUUUUUUCUUUCUUCUUUCUUUCUUCCUUCUCCUCCUCCUUCUUUUUCUUUUCUUUUUCUGCUGCAUUUCCUUGCUCUCAGAGCUCAAGCUUUUCAGGCUGCAACAGUGGUUGAGGAUGGAGUAUGACUUAAUAUUCUUUGCUUUCUCUUUUGACCCAAGUUAGAAGCUGUCUGGGUGGAUCUCCCUAGGGACUUUGUCUAUGAGGUGAAUACCUUAAAGAAGGGAGAAGGGGGAAAUACUGUGAUCUUUACUAUGAAAAUCUGGAUAAAGUCCAAAGGGACAUCACCUCCGGAGGUCUGGAGUAAAAAGCUGUGGAAGGAGCUUUCCAAAUACAGGGAAAUUACCCAAACCAGAGAAAUUAAUUUUGUGUUUUUCAUAGUUAUUUUCUAUUAAAAACUUUCCUGGAAGCCUAAUGUGUAAUACCCAUCACGGGAGGCUUGGUAUCUCCUCUCUUUCUUCUGAUGAUGCUGUCCAGUUUUACGAUUCUUGUUUUCAGUUCGUAUAUUUUUCUUCUGUGGCCUUUAGAAAAGAAUGGACUUGACUUUUUUGUUUUGAUUAAGGAAACCUCUCUUUGGAAAGGUGGAUUAUUAAGAUAAGUCUAAGAUUUCUCAUGACAGAGAGCUCUCUGUGUGCAGAUGGAUUUUAUAUUAUAUUUUGGUUUAAUGUGAUGUUUCUGAUUCCUGGAGCACUGACCUCAGUUUUUCUCGCAAAACAAAAAGAACAUCCCUUUAUUUGAGAGUAAAAAUAGUUGCUGCUUCUAGGCAUUUGGACUAGAGAUGCUUUUUCGACUUUGCAAAGAAGCACCAGGUGUUUUAAUAGCUCAGAGAAGCCCAUCGUUUCAUUACCAUCGUCUGCCUGCGUGUUCAGGAUAAAGUGUGCACUGCUUUACAAAGAUUUCGGCUCUUUGAAGUAUCAUUUGCUUCCUUCUCUCGGCUUUGGUGCGGGUGCGGCUCUGGGCUGUGACUGCGCGGGCCUCCCGCUGGCUGCCUAGGGGAGCGCUCAGUGCCCAGCGGACGCGCGCGGGAAGAUGCGGCCUAGGCCGACUAGCACCGGUCGGGACUUGGGAUUUGACGUCACCACUGCCCCCAGGGUCUCCCCAGGAAGGUGCUGUAUGGGGCUCGAGUUCUCUCUGCCGAGGCUUUGCCAAAACGGUUGCAUCUCCUCUCCCAUAACCCUGUAUGGUCCCAGGUCGGGCAAGUGUAGAAAAUCUCCGGAGCUGUUGGGAUUCUCACCGCUCCAGAGCCUUCUGCCUCCUGAGACCUCCUGACCCCUGAGAUGGUUUAGGCCCCAAACUUUCCAAAUCAAAUCCUGCCUUCUUGCCGCUUACCACAACCCUUUUCUUUUGAAGGGUUGUUUGUCCCUGUUUGUGACCAUAUCUCAGAAUUAGUAAUCUCUUUCCUGCCAGAUCAGAGGUGGUGGAUUGGCAGGGGUGUGAGAAGGGAUGGAAGCAUUCUGGGCUCUCCAGAAUAUUAUGCCCUUCUAGGGUCAGAGCAGGUAGGAAUGGGAAGACACAGAACCUUCACUUUCUCAUUUUUAAAAUAGCUACUACAUAUUUAUUUUACAGAAGAUGAAUGUAAAGAACCUGACACAAAAUAAGCUUAAUUCAUAGCUACGAUUUUCUAACUGUCCGGCAGAAUUAGAUGAUGGGGAAGGGAAGCAAUUCUUGUAUUAGACUCCAGAGAUAGAUACAGAAAUUGUGAUCCUGUCUCUCCUUGUUGGUCCUGGGUAGUGAAAUAAGAUUUGUCAGACUACCCUUCUUACUUUUCCAAGUGCUCUUUUUGACUUAGGGUUGGUCUAAGAAGUUAUCUUGCAAACUUGCCAUCCCUAGGUAUCUUCCUGAAGGGAAGGAUCCUGGCAUUUCGGUUAGCAGCCGCCCCCUCCCGCAGAAGGCAGAAAAAUAAUUACUAUAUUAAAAGGAGCAGUGAAUUCUUCCCGAGGGUUCUUAUCGCUGGCGGCCAGGCCAGAAGCCGGACUGCGCCCCAACCCCCACCUCCACCUCCACCCCCACCCCGUGACGUCAGGGCCUUCAGGGCCUUAAGGAUGAAAUGAUUCCGUUGAGGGUUCCAGAAAGGGUAAUCCAAACGCUGGCAGGACCAGGUCAGUGGAGCCGGUCUCCAUCACCACUACCCAGCCCAGCUCUGGAGGCUCCAGAGACUCCUCGCCCUCUAGAGUAUAACCAAAUACACAAGUAGCCAGAGCCUCACAUACAUUACACUCAUCAGCCAGAGGAGCACCCUUUUCUCUUACAAGUAAACGUUCAAAGUUAUCUGAUUUGCUAGCUAGAAUUUGUUGUGGGAUCUGUUGUGGUUUUGUCGUGCUUAUGUUUGUUUUCUUGUCAGAUGCUAGACAAAAUUACAGAAAAAAAAAAAAAAAACAACUCUUUACACUUUGCACCAUAGCUUUAUUUUAUUUAAGCCCACCCAA